AUCUGCAAAAUGUAUUUUAAAUAAUAAUAAUUGGAUGGUAAUGUAGAAGAAGUUAUAUUUGGAAAAAAUAUCUACUCUGUUCUUCUGCCCAUUUUUAAAUUUUUUUUUUAAUGUUGAGUUGUAUGGGCUAUUUAUACACAUGUUGGCUAUUAAUCCCUUAUCAAUCAUUUCAUUUGCAAAUAUUUUCUCUCAUUGAGUAUAUUGUCCUUUCAUUUUUUCAAUGGUUUCCUUUGCUAUGCAAAAGCUUAUAAGUUUCAUUAGGUCCCAUUUGUUUAUCUUGCUUUAAUUUCUGUUACUUUAGGAGAGAGUUUAAAAAAAAUAUUGCUUCAAUGUAUAUCAAAGAGUGUUCUGCCUGUUUUCCUCUAGCAGUUUUAUAGUAUCUGGUCUUAUAUUUAGGUCUCUAAUCCAUUAUGAGUUUAUAUUUGCAUAUGAUGUUAGAGAAUGAUCUAAUUUUAUUAUUUUCAUAGCCCUAACCAGUGUUCCCAGCACUACUUAUUGAAGUAGUACUCUAUUGCAUGUUCUUGCCUCCUUUGUUGUAGAUUAGUGACCGUAAUGUGUGGGUUAAUUACUGUGCUUUCCUGUCCCAUUAAUCUGUGCAUCUGGUUUUGUGCACCAUACUGUUUUGAUUAUUAUAGCUUUGUAAUACAUUCUGAAGAUGGAAAGCCUGACUCCUCCAGUUCUGUUCUUCUUUCACAAGAUUGUUUUGGCUACUUGAGAUAUUUUGAGUUUCCAUACAAAUUUUAAAAUUACUUGGUUUAGCUUUGUAAAAAAUGCCCUUGGUAUUUUGAUAGGGAUUGCAUUAAAUCCAUAGAUUGCUUUGGGUAGUGCAGUCCUUUUGAUAAUAUUAAUUCUUCCAAUGAAUGAACACAGUAUAUCAUUCCAUCUGUUUGUAUUGUCUUCAAUUUUUUUCAUCAGUGUCUUACAGUUUCUAGCUUUUUUAUUAUUUAGAUAUGAUUAUAAAUGGGAUUGUGUCCUUAUUUUCUCUUUCUGAUAGUUAAUUGUUAGCAUGUAGAAAUGAAACAGAUUUCUUUAUAUUAAUUUUGUGUUCUGCAACAUUACCAAAUUCAUUGAUAAGCUCUAGUAGUUUUUGGGUGGCAUGUUCAGGAUUUUUUUAUCUGUAAUAUCAUGUCAUCUGCAAACUAUGACAGUUUUAUUUCUUCCUUUCCAACUUGGAUUCCUUUUAUUUCAUUUUAGCACUUUGAUUUUUAAUGUUACUACUGUUGAACAUAAUAUCUCAUGAAAAAAAUUCACUCUAACUUCAAUCCUAUAUUUAAAGUUUUCUUAAGCUAUUAUUAUUCCAGAAAAUUGUUCUGGGUUUCCUAUAACUUGCUUAAAACAAUAGCAGCAACAGCUACAAAAUCUUCUAAAAUGUUUUAACUAACUACUUGGCUUAUCAGAAAGUGUUAUCAAGUCCUCCUAAAUAGCUUGAGAAGUGUGUGUGUGUGUGUGUGUGUGAGAGAGAGAGAGAGAGCACACUAUUUCAGGAUCUGCAUAGAGAACUCCUAUGACUAGUGCUGUAAAUAAUUUUCUAACUUUUCUGUGAACUCCACAAGUCAGCUUUUGCUCCUAUUACCAGGUGACAUAGAAAAGUGUAUCUGUUUCAUUAAUAUCCACUUUGUGCCCUCCUUUCACAUAAAUUGAUUACCUACUUUUUUCAUAUAAAUUUUAUGGGAGUAUAGUUUACUUACAAAGUUGUGUCGUUUCAGGUAUAUAGCAAAGUAAAUCAGUUGUACAUAUGCAUAUAUAGAUUCUUUUUAGAUUCUUUUCCCAUGUAGGUUAUUACAGAGUAUUGAGUAGAUUGCCCUGUGAUAUACAGUUGGUCCUUACUACCUAUUUUAUAUGUAGUAGUGUGUAUGUCAAUCCCAACCCCCUAAUUUAUCCCUCCCCCCAACCUAUUUUUAUGACUUUCCUAGGUUCUGGUGCAACAGUGUCAUAAUGUUUUUUGCUUUUCCCCCUUCUCAACCUUUGAAAAUAAAUUUAUGCAUAAUAAGGUCAUUGUUUAACAUUUAACAUAGAGCAGAUUUGUUUCAACUAGGUGAUGUCUUUGAUACCCAAAGAAAAAUAUGUAUGUGAGUUAUAAUAGAAAUACAUAAAACCGAGUUCCAUUGAUAGACUAUCCAUAUUUCCCUAUUUGUGUACAUUUCCAAUAUCCAUCUUUCCCUAUUUGCAUAUAAAGGCAGUCUUCCAGAAAAUUAUACCCUUGUCUGAAGACCUAUAGUAAAUAAUCCACAUUCUGAAGCAACAUUGGCUUCCUUUACAUUGCUUAAACAUAGUGAAUGUAGAAUCAUGCCUGCAAUUAGAAUACUUCUUUCCCCUUCCCUUUUUAAAAGUUUAUUUGGUAUACCCACUGAGAAUGACAUAUUUUCGAAGGAUCACAUUGCUGUGUAAAGAGUUUUGACUUAAUAGUCCAUGCAUUCCUUGAAGUUCUAAGAAUAUAUGAUGAUGAUGAAGUUUACUAUCAAAAGAAAGAGUCAGUAUAGAUAGCUUUACAAAUUAGGUUUAAGUACUGCCUAGAAAAUUACAUUUAACUGGAAAAAUGAAUAUAACCUCCAAUUUAUUAGUCAGGCUUAUGGGUUUACACUUGUGAAUAUUUCCCUAUAUGAUGUAGGUAUAGGCUAUUGACUUAUCAUAUAUUAAAAUGUAUUUUGCACCUCGCUUUUGGUAGUUUGGUCAAUGGACCACAUUAGUGAGUAGUAUUAUUACUGGUUUCUUCUGUUUUAUUCAUGCACAUCUAUGCAUAAGCACAUGUGCAUAUUAUAAACAUAUACAUUGUUUUCCCUAGAAUUAUUUAAUGAUAUAAACAUUUAAUCAGUCACAGUAGCCAUUUUAUUAAAAUGCUGUAGUCUAGAAACUAGAUAAAAUACCUAUGGAGGACAUUUAUGAAUGCAAAGAGGCUCUAAUUAAUUUAAAAACUCUAGCAUUUGCAUGUACUUCUCCUACCUCACUGAAUUAUUGAUUUCUCUGGAAAUAUUUUCUAAACAAUUUUGUAGUUCAGGUUGUCUUCUCUGAUUUUGAAACUGUCGUUAAACACUGUGCUAACCAUGUCUCUAAGGAUGUACUUAGGGAUACUGUCACUCCACAGAUAUUAAUGAGGCACCUUUAGUCUCCUAGAAAUUAGAACUAGAAGGGUAAUAAGAGGAUGCCUUACUUUUGGACAACUUCUAUCUGGAAGAGAUUGAUAUACACACAUAUAAUCACUAUAUGCUGUUAUAAUCACAAAGUUAGAGAUUGCACCAAGGAACUUCAUGAAGUAAGGCACCAAAAUGACAGUGAGAACUUAAUUCCAAAUGUAACCAUAAUCCAACCCAGUCUGUCGUUAAUAUCUUGAUCCCAGCUGCCAUCAUUUCUUAUCCAUCUCAUUCAUCCUAAAUCUAUCCUUACCAGUCUCCUGCUUCUGUUCUUGCCUUCCUACAGCCUAUUCUUUGCACAAAAGCCAGAGCAAUCUUUAAAAAAUGAAAAGUCGUAGCCUGUGGCUUUCCUACCACUGGUUCCCCAUCUCAUUUGGAGUAAAAACCAGAAUCUUACCAGACCUUACAUGGCCUGCUCCAGAGAAAUCAGUGACCCAGUACCUGUGAAAGUGAAUCAAAAAUAAAUGCAAAUAUAAUUUCCUACCACUCUCUCCAACCCCUCUCUCUGUUCUAGCCACACUGGUCAGUGCUGGACUUUGUACUUGCCCUUCAAGUCUUUGCUCAGAUACCCCUCCCCCAACACAGUCCAUUUACCUUGCUUUGUGAUUCCUUUGUUGCACUUAUCACUCCUGGACAUAUUAUAUAUUUAUUAUUGGGGGGUAUUUUUUUUAUUCAAACAAAAGGAAGGACUUGUUUUGUUCUGAGGCUAAUGGGUGCCUUGCACGUACAGGCACUCAAUAAAAAGAAUGAAUGAAAGAACGUUUCCAGUUCACAGAGGUCCAUAAGGCUAUGUUUACAGACAUACUGUUGUACAUUAAACAGGAUGAAUCUCUUUCAUCAAAGGGAUUUUCACUUGAAAAAUUUCCACCCCUUUUCUUUAUCCUGGAUCAAGCAAACAGAUGCCUUCAUUCUGUUUCAGAACAAUGUACAGUGUGAAAGCAUGAAAAAUGGGCAGUGGAAAUGGGUUAACAAUGAAACGGGAAAGGAAAAUGAAUGUCAAGAAGUAGAAUGACAAGAUGAUAUGCAACUUGACCUUGGAUGGGUUUUAGAUGUGGGGUCAGAUUUCCAAGGCCUUCUCUAGUCAUAUCUCAUGCAUCCAGAGGCUGUAUGGAUGUGGUUGUGGGCACACAUGUGCUUUCUGUGUCAAAGACUGUAUUGCAGAGGGGGAAGCUCUUCUCAUUCAUUCAGUUUAAAAUUUUCAAACAAAAUCUAAUCUUUAUUAUAAUUUUAUAUACCAUUAUAAUAAUAUAUACAAAGUAGAUUCAAAGAGAAAUUUGAAGACAAAAUAAUACUAUUUAUAAAAUUAACGCUUCUCAGGCAUUAUUAAAUUAUUAUUUUAUCCAACAUGACUAGAACUAACUUAUUUUAACUUUGUAACUUAGCACCAAAACCUUCUAAAAACUUCAGAUAAGAGACUGUAAAGUAAUGAGAUAGAUUUCCUUUCAGGAAUUGGGGUGAAGAAUUUGUGACUCUAGUUAAUAAUGACAAAUUACCACUUUUACAAGUGCUAUGAAAACUUUUUACUUGUAUUAGCUAAUUUAAUCAUGCAACAACUCCAUCAGCUUAGUGCUUUUAUCCUAGGAGUUCCCAUCGUGGCGCAGCAGAAAUGAGUCCUACUAGGAACCAUGAGGUUGUGGGUUCAAUCCCUGGCCUUGCUCAGUGGGUUAAGGACCCAGCAUUGCUGUGAGCUGUGGUGUAGGUCACAGAUGUGACUCAGAUCUGGCGUUGCUGUGGCUCUGGUGUAGGCCAGCAGCUGCAGCUCCGAUUGGACCCCUAGCCUGAAAACCUCCGUAUGUCGCAGUGCAGCCCUAGAAAAGGCA
rnacentral:lncRNA from 1 species